rnacentral:piRNA from 1 species
UGCAUAUGUCUGGUGUUCAGUGACUGUC